CGUGUAGGCGGUCGAGUAAGUCAGAUGUGAAAGCCUUCCGCUUAACGGAAGAAGUGCAUUUGAAACUGCUCGGCUGGAGUACGGGAGAGGAGAGUGGAAUUCCCGGUGUAGAGGUGAAAUUCGUAGAUAUCGGGAGGAACACCAGUGGCGAAGGCGGCUCUCUGGUCCGAUACUGACGCUGAGACGCGAAAGCGUGGGGAGCAAACAGGAUUAGAUACCCUGGUAGUCCACGCCGUAAACGAUGGGCACUAGGUGUAGGAGGUAUUGACCCCUUCUGUGCCGAAGCUAACGCAUUAGGUGCCCCGCCUGGGGAGUACGGCCGCAAGGCUAAA
rnacentral:rRNA from 1 species